CAAAUUAGAGCUUCUGCUUUU
rnacentral:miRNA from 1 species